GCCAGUGUGGUAUAAUGGUUUGAAUGUUGGACUACAGUUCUGGAGAUCUGGGUUCGAAUCUCAACUUGUCC